AUUAAAAUAAUAUAUAAUUUUUGGGAAAAAUGUUAUUUAAUACCUCAACUAACAAAAAAUGGCCAAAUUAACCGUGAACUCGUGAAAUGGCCGUUUUAACUCUCAACAAAAAGUUGACUUCUGUUUUAACCUUUAAGUUUGCGUUGACUCGGCCUAAUUAACCACCGUUAAAAAUCCUUCUAACAGCGUAAUUGACAGCCGUUAUAGAACAUCCGUUAAGGUGAUACGACGACGUUUUGUGCUAUCAAUACGACGACGUUUUGUGCUAUCAAUAGAACAUCCGUUAAGGUGAUACGACGAUCAUUUCGAGCUGCCUCUACUCUAUCAUCAUCUUCAUCGUCAGAGGACAAAGGAUCUGGAAUCUUGUCUUCAUCCCAUAUAUCAUCUCCGCCGUCAUUGUCACUAGCUUCUUCUUCUCCAUUAGCCUCUGGAAAAUCUCUUUCCAUGUCUAAGUUACCAUCUUCUUCGACACCUAAUCCAGCAGUAUCAUCUUCUUCUCUAUUAGUAUCUACUGCAUCAUCAACCUCAUCGCAGUCUUCAUCUCCUUGGACUGCACAGUCAUCGUCUUCAUCAAGAGCAGGAACUUCAGCCUCUAAAUCCUCCUCUUCUUCAUCUCUGAUUCUCCUUCGUUUACUUCGUCUAAGUGGAGCACGAACUUCAACGCCUGAUUCAAUGUGAGCUUCCUCGUGAGCUUCCUCUUCUCCGCCACAAGACGUUUCACCUAAAGCUUCCUCUUCCUCUUGUCCAAUUUCACGACGAGUUGAUUCUUCAACUGCAACAUCAGCUUCCUCUUCCAAUCUAUUUUGCCUUCGUUUACUUCGCCUAAGUGGAGAACAAACUGCGGUUGCAUUUCCCACAUCAACGGACUGACCUCGAGCUUCUUCUCCAAUUUGAUUUGCUUCUCCUUCCGGCAUUGGUUCAACUGCAUCGUGAGCUUCUUCUUCCAAUCUGAUUUGCCUUCGUUUACUUCGCCUAAGUGGAGAACGAACUUCGGCCACAUCUGCCACAUCAACAUUUGAUACUACAUUCGCUUGACCUCGAGCUUCUUCUCCAAUUCGAUCUGCUUCUCCUUCCGGCGUUGCUUUAGCUGCAUCUUGUGCUCCCUCUUCUCCGCCACAAGACUCAGAUACCACAUUCGUUUCACCCACAACUUCUUCUCCAAUUUCAUCUCUUUCUCCUCGCGGUAGUGCUUCAACUCCAUCUCCCACCAAAUUCUCUGAUUCGUGAAGCAUUGGAGAUCCAAUCAUCAUAACGACGCCAUUCUUUCUAACUAAUGGCAUUUCAGAAAACGAAUUGAAGCAAUUAGGGUUUCGAUUUUGAUUUUGGGGGCAGGAUUAGGUUUCGAUUUGGGUUUAGGGUAAUUGAUUUUGUUUUGAGAAAU
rnacentral:sRNA from 1 species